GGGCCCGUAGCUUAGCCCGGCAGAGCGCCCGGCUCAUAACCGGGAAGUCCCGGGUUCAAAUCCCGGCGGGCCCACCA
rnacentral:tRNA from 1 species